rnacentral:lncRNA from 1 species
UUUGCUUUAUGUUGAUUUGACACAAAUUCAACGGGAAAAAAAUCUUUAAAGAAUAGGAAGAUUUUCGUUGUCAAGAAACAAUACAAUUCCUUUUGUGUUUUAUUUUGCGUAGAAAAACUGUUAUAAAAAGGUGUGUCAAUGGUAUAUAAACAAACUCCAUAUGUUCCAUACACCCGUGUUUCCCUAAUCGACCAAACACCAAAACACAAGGUAAAUAAAAUACAGCAAAGUUUUGAAAUAACUGAUUUUUUUUCCUAUGUUUUAAGAUUUUAAGGGGGGUUAUGAUUUUCUCUAUAUCACGUAUGUCUAAUGAGUUCAUUAAUUUUCCAUUAUAUAUCUUAAACUAAAUCUACCACAAUUUACUUUACAAAUUUUGUUUCGUGUUUUUAUCAUUCGGAAAUUUGUGCGCACGAACAUUAUAUGUUAUGAUAAUCAUAUAUUUCAGGUGAACAAUUAAAUUCCUAAAAUUUAGCCCUGUUAUCUAUGAUGAGUUUAUUUGCAGAAUGAAAAUAUUGAAGAUUCUGUGUGCGAUAUUCAUGAUGCUAAUGGCAGUUUUAGCAGGAAAAGUCAGUGGAAAGCCACCAGUUGGAAGGCUCGAAUUUGACAAAAUACGACCACCAAUUGGAGGGCUUCGUUUUAACAGAGUUAAAAGAGAUACUAAUAACCAACAUUUGGAUAGAACCUUGGGAUUACUGGUAAUUACAAAUCUUAAGAAUUGCUUAUUCAGAACAUAAAGUUUAAUAAUAAUAAUAAUAAUAAUAAUAAUAAUAAUAAUAAUAAUAAUAAUAAUAAUAA